GAUGAACGCUGGCGGCGUGCCUAAUACAUGCAAGUCGAGCGAACAGACGAGGAGCUUGCUCCUCUGACGUUAGCGGCGGACGGGUGAGUAACACGUGGAUAACCUACCUAUAAGACUGGGAUAACUUCGGGAAACCGGAGCUAAUACCGGAUAAUAUAUUGAACCGCAUGGUUCAAUAGUGAAAGACGGUUUUGCUGUCACUUAUAGAUGGAUCCGCGCCGCAUUAGCUAGUUGGUAAGGUAACGGCUUACCAAGGCGACGAUGCGUAGCCGACCUGAGAGGGUGAUCGGCCACACUGGAACUGAGACACGGUCCAGACUCCUACGGGAGGCAGCAGUAGGGAAUCUGACGCAAUGGGCGAAAGCCUGACGGAGCAACGCCGCGUGAGUGAUGAAGGUCUUCGGAUCGUAAAACUCUGUUAUUAGGGAAGAACAAAUGUGUAAGUAACUAUGCACGUCUUGACGGUACCUAAUCAGAAAGCCACGGCUAACUACGUG
rnacentral:rRNA from 1 species